GCGGGUGUUUGUGCGCGUGUAGGGUGGUGAUUUGCCGGUCUCGGUGGUGCUGGUGGCUCCCGCGGCCCUUGGCGCCCUGAGGUGGUGGGAGCUGCCCGCCAGCGGGACUCCUGGCGGCGCCGCGCGGUGGCUGUGAGCCCUGGGUGCAGCCUAGAGGUGAGGUAACGUGAAGGAUUCUGCAAUCAUGACAUUCGCACUUCCCAAGGGAGCCGUCCCUAGCAAUCUGUCAGAAGAAUGUAGCUCCUGAAAUUGCUUACUAAUAUGUGUACCAGUGGCAGAUGCUUUCUUUUUCCAGUAGUCGCUUGCCCUCCGCAGUCUGAAAUGCAUGCGUGCACCUAAGUGAUAGGUAGGGAAUGAGGCAGUAUCACAACUACUGCAUUUGGAAUAAACAGAAUUUGUAAGCCAAUUAGAAUUAAAGUAAUUAGAAUUACUCCCAAAUUCACAGUUUCUAUAGAGUUUCUAUAUAUUUUUUUCCUCAUGCUUUGUAUUUUCAUGCAGUACUUCUUAAUAUGGCUAUUGUUAAUUACAGAGAAUUAGAAUGUAGUUCUUCUAAGAGUAAAUUUGGUGUUAGACAUACAGUAUUAACACUAAACUAACAUGGGUUGAAAAGCAUUCAUCUUCACUCCAAAAGUCUGCAGAGUUGUAUAUCAACUGGAGCUGGUGGGGAUAGAUGACUUAAGCACUAUUCUUUCAGGUUUAUAAGUUUUGUUGGGCUUUAAGAGCCCACUGUGGGUCAGUGAGUAGUGAAGAGUCCCAAAAGCCUUCUGUGUACCAUACUGAACUCUAACCUUAGAGAUUGCUUGUGAAGUUUCACAUUUAUCUGGUAUAAAAAUGCAUAAGCACUGCUUUGCCUUUCCAUGGCCACACUGUGAGGGAGAGACUGCAGUGACAAGGUUUCAUGGCGUAUGCUAGUACCCCCAGUAGUGGAUUGCAAUAGUUUCAUUGCAGAUGAGGGAAGAGCCUAGAAUUAGAUUAGGCAGAGCAAAAGCUGAAGAAGUAGUUCUGUAUCCUGUGCAGAUAUUGUAACAACUGAAGAAAGGAGAAUUUGAGGCAAGGUUUUUGGAAGCUAAAAGUCAUUUAGUUUUAUUGAUGACACGGUUUGUGUAUUGUCUAGAUGGAAGGAACUGAAAAGCAAAUGGUACUGCUGUACCUUCAUAGCAGUGAUUUAGGAAGUGGGCUCUCUGAGAAAGGCUCAUAGAUGGAGUUCUCUUCACUGUAUUGAAGCUUCUAGGUUAUGAUUAAAAUUAAUCUAAUUAGUUGAGACAGAAAAAAACAUAGAAUAUAUUGCUGGAUUUGGCAAGCCAACAGACUUGAGGAAAGUGAGACAUACUGAAAUAAGUAGUGAUGAAAGUGAUUAACCCUUUAUGGUGAACUCUGAAGAGUGCUGUCACUCAUGACAUUAUGCUUCCUGUUAAGCACUGGGAUUAAAUGAGAAUCACCAGAUUCUCACAGGUAAGAAUUGGUGCCCACCGUAUAAAUUCACUUUCAGGAUAUACAGGGUUGUAAUUUAUAGGUAUUGGGACUUAGGUUGACAUGUAGAUAUUACAGCAAGGCUGAAAAAUGUCUUACUUUUUAUGGCUGUUGAAAGGCAACAUUGUGCAAGGUCUCAUGGCUUGGAUGAAAGCUGGGCCUGGCAUAGAGAGUGACAUAUGUUAGGAUGCUCAUUUACACUUCAAAUUCAACAGCACUCACUUUUACUCAUUGACAUUGAAGCCGGCUUUGAUAUUGUCAAAGAUUUGGCACAGGUCAGCAGCAAUAAUGGGCUACAGGACCUUAUAAAUAAAGCUGGCAUCAGACAUCAAGUUUCCAGGAAUACUUCUUUCAUAAAAGCACCUUGAAGAGUUCUGUAGCUAUUACACUUAUAAAGGACUCUAAGUAUUUCUGCAGCCUGAGCUCUAUAAACAAGUCUUUGUUAGGACAGUUUUCCAUGUUGGAGGGGAAUUUCACCCCAUCUCUUCAGCUGGCUUUAGUUUGAUGUUUUUGGGGAAUAAGCGGAAAAAAACACUUCAGCUUUUGUUGGUAGUCGUAUGGAAUAGAUGUAGUGUAUUCUGUGAUAAAACCAAGAGUAUGAGAGAGAGAAUUUAUGUCAAAUUUGGUACCUUCAUCCUUGGAUGGCUAAAAAUCACUAUUCUGCCAUUAAGAAUAUUCCGGAUAGAAAGCUACUUUAAGUGUAGAUAUUUCCAUGUGCUUUUCAUAAUAUGCAACAUGAUUUACUGUUAUCAGGCAGUUCUUUAAGUUACAAAUGACAUUUGCUCUACAGCUCAGAAUGUUAUGAUGUGUAACAAAGUCAAUGUCACAAAAAUCCAAGCUUCACUUGUUACUGCAAAAGCAAUGUAAGUCAGGGGAAGCGUCUAAGAAGUCCGGCUGGGAACUUUGUCAGCCCAGAAAAUCAUGGGAUGCAUUUUGUCUGUACUUGGAUGACCUCUGGGUGACUAAAAAAAAAGUAUGCAUAUUCAAAACACAGUGCAUCCUCCCCAAAAACAUAACCAAAAAUACUAUUCAGCUGUGUGGGGAAAAACAAGACUCCUGAAAAAGAAAGGUUACAUGGGAACAUGGAAUUUUAUUCUUCAAUGAAUUGAAAAGUCUGUAUUCACAGUAUUCACCUUUGAAGUGAAGUAGCUUGUGUAUCAAAAGUUUUCCAUUACUUUUGUAUGAGAAGUAGAAAGGGACAUGCACAAUGAUGUUGUAUUGUAGUCCACAUUAAGAAAGUUUGCAGAUAUCAUGUGUAUUUGAAAAUAUUGCGGGCAUUUUGAAAUGAUGAAGAAUGGAUUGUGGCUCUUGUCAGUACCUAACUGACAACAGAAAGGUAAAAUCUGUCCCAUUCAGGGGAUAACCUCUAGGUGUCACUUGAAGGCGUGAAAUAGAAAAUGGAUUUUAGAUUGGGCAAUUUACAGAGGUCUAAAUAUGCAGUGGGAUUCUAGCAGAAGUUGUUUGUGAAUUAUUUUCUCUUCAUAGGCUAAUCUAAUUUAGCUUCUGGUGCGUUGGGUGUUCUGAGCAAACAAACUUUUUCAUACAAGUUGAAGCUUGUGUAGUUUAUGUGACAAAUCACAGACAAAAUUUAGUGAUACUGUUUAGGAAAAGAAAUGCCACAAAAUGUCUAACGUCAAUUAUCAGCUCCUUUAGUAAGCUUAGAAAUGAGUCAUGCAAGAUACUUGAUAUCCUGAGAUCAGUGUAUCUUCCAUGCCAGAUUUUAGCGCUUUGAAAGCAAAUCGUGAGGCCUAGCUAUUUUGGAAAUCUUUUUUUCCCUAAAUAGUUGGAUAGUGUAACUAUGAAUGUCAGUACAUGCUUAUUUGGCAGUGUAGAUUUCUAUUGGCUUUUCUCAGAGCUUCAGUUCUUUGAGAUGAAAAGAUUUCCUUGUUAGUUCAGACCUUGACACAGCCCUUGAAGUUAGUAUCUGUAGUUCAGGGGAACACAUAAGCAUGUAACAUUCAGCCCUUUCUCAGUAAAGAUUUUUGCAUGUGCUUCUGAAUGUCCUUUACCCUCACUGACUUUUUUGAGCUGCAGUUAUCAUUCUAAAUUUUAGUAGAAAAUGGAUUAUUUUUUCCUUUCUGCUUUGUCACUUAAUUGUGGGUGACAAUUCCCCCAAAGCUAAAAUUUCUGAAAUGGAGAAGUCUUCUUUCACAGUUUGCUACAGUUUUUACCUGUAGGCUGAUAACAGAAAAUCAAUGCACUAAUCUGAAUGAUAAAUCUCCUUUUGUCUAUGUGAAGAUGUUUUCAGUUUAGGAACCUUUUAUGAAACUUCAGUCUUAGUUUUAUUAGUAAUGGAGAGAGUUGGAGCGAGGUUGAAACUAAAAAGUAGCACAGUCCUAUGAUCUGGUGUUAAUGGGCAAUAUUAGAUGACUUACUUUUGAAUGAAUAAUUCUUUGUUUUAAUUAGGUUGAAGUUUAUAGGAAGUUCCUAUCAACACACCCUCUUAUCUCAGGUUGUGUACUGAUGUGUUCAGUCUUGAUAAUGUGCUUUAUUUUUAGAACACGAAGAAGCAUGAUAUAAGCUUAUUUUGUUUAACUGCCAGAAAAUAAGGAUGCAAAAGCCAUAGAUUCAAAUUGCCUUUUCAGGCAGAGAAGUCAUCGCCCUCUGCAGCAAAGUUUUGAUAGUGAUUUCAUUAGGAUUAAAGUUUCUCCAGCACUAUCUCCUGAACUACAGCUAAAACUCUACUGGUUUUUUGUUUUGUUUUGUUUUCCCCUGUCUUCAGAACAAUAAUAUUUACAAAGUCUUGUAUUCUUGAAAGCAGGUUCUUGCCAAGGAAGCAGUUUAGAAGCUGCAGGUACCUCGCCACACGAUGGCAGAGUAACAGCACUUGUCACUAAGUCUGUUUUUUUUUCUGAAGCAUUUGAAAACACUGGUUAUUGGAUCUAAUUUUUUCCUGCAACUAAGUGCAGCACUAUUUAACUUUUCAAAUUGUCAUUGUUUCCCUUCUAUGGUUACUGCAUCUUUGCAUGCAUUUUAGUUACACUGUUUUCUGUUUGUGUUAUUUUUUCAGUUAUACAAUAUGCUUUAAUUAAGAAUAAUGAUGAAAGAAUAAUGACGAGAGCUUGGUUCUGCUGUAUAUCCCUAUUGUAUCCUAUGAUUAAUAGUUUUUUAUUUGUUUGGAUUACUUGUGGUCUCCAUCUUUUCUUAGAAGACUAAUGUAUUCUUUAAAAUGUUUCUGUUGAUUUGUAUCAUUUGUAUCAUUAGGUCAUUUCAGAGAUUUUAAUUCAUAGAUUUCUGGUAGGUUCUUAUAUGUGUGUUUUCAGAAUAUGUAAGCAUAUUAUUUUACUCAUUUCUUAUCAUAUUGGAAUAAUUUAUUUGUUUGCAUUAUUAAUAUUCGUCUCUUUCCAAGCUUCCAGUGUGGUCUGUUGAAUAAAAAUCAGUAUUCCUGCCAGCAAAAGAGUUCCAUUUAACUUCAGAAAUACCUCAAAUUUCUAUUGCAAGCGGGCUGUUGGGCAGCCUUGUUUUUGUUUGCUUCUAAUCCAUCUGUUGUGGAGCCUUGCUGCAGUUACACUGAAGGUAUCUGAGAGGUAAAUGAAGCAGUGUGAAUGUUUAACUUCAUUGCGAUUUUGCAAUGAAAAGAUCUGGAAUCAGAUAAGGUGGGAAAUCUCAUUUUCUCAUGAAAUUCUGCUCUCAAACAAAUGUGCAGUUUAUUUCUGCAGUUACGGGCGCUGAGUAAUUAGGCGACUUUGCCUUUGUUAAGGUGUUGCAUUGGUGCAGUAGUGCAAUCAAAUUUUGGUAUUAGCACAGAAAAAAAAUAAAACUUUACCUUUAAUUUCUCAUAAAGGCACCAUUCCAUCAAAGUUCACAUGUGAUUUAUAAUGAUACUUUAUAAGUCAAUUUACAAAUGUGGUCCAAAGGUAAUGCCUGCUAUUUUAAUAUCUCAUGAUGGCAGAGGUGGAUAUUGGUGGUAUGGCAGUAGAGUCUGAACUUUCCCACCAGCGUUCCAUUGCAUGUUGCUGUGUCACAGAUGAAGCAGAGGGGCAGUUGGACAAAAUGGCAUCUGACAUGGAAAUAUGAAGCAAAUGUGUGUCCUUGAAUUCCUCCAUUGGAAGAAAUGGCACCCACUGACCUUCACCAAUGCUUGCUGAAUUUUUAUGGAGACCAAACAGUGGAUGUGAGCACAUUUAGGCAGUAAGUGGUGCAUUUCAGCAGUGAUGAUCACAAUGUGAAAGACACAUCACAUUCCAGAUGGCCAUGCACAGCUGGCACACUACAGAAGUGAGAGCAGCUUGAUCAGUUCAUCCAUGCAAACUGCAAAAAGCUUAAUAUCACCUUCAAUUAAUUGGAAAUGAUGGUGGAAUAUUGCAAAGUUUGAGCCAAGUGGGUCCCAUGAAAGCUCAUGCAGGAAUAGAAAAAACAUGCAAGUUUGUCAGAACAUACUGAACCAAUACAAGGCUGAAGUUGACAGAUUUUUACAUUAUGGUGUGUAGGCUUUUGUUUGUCUCUGACAAAAAUGCAUAGCUAAUGGUGGUGACAAGGCUGAAAAAUAGUGUUUUGCUGAAAAUUUGCCCCCACAAAUAGUGUUAAUAUGCUUAUUAUUAUGUUAUUAUCUUUGUAUCUCUUAUAGUUCCAUGGAAAUAAAUAGGAGGCAUUACUUUUGGAACAGUAUUUCAAAUUUAUUGGAGUAAAAUGAACUUAAAAUGGCUAAUUAAAUAUCAUGUUGGUUUGAUUAUACAGAAUAAAACAGCACCUGAUUUUGCACAGGAUAUUCCUCCUUAAAUAGUAUGCAAAACAAUAACAGAUGCUUGUAAUUAAAAUGAUGUUUAUCAUUAAAAAGAAAAAAUCUGGUAAGUAAUUCAUAUAUUCAGCACGUAAGUCUAAUCACAGUUCUCCCAUUUCUGCCCUUUUUGUUGAGCUGGAAACCAGGAAUUUACUGAACAUGCUUUUCAACCUGUUCAGUUUUCAUUUUUGGCUACCUUUACAUUCUACUUUCCGUAUCUCUUCAAUGAAGACAUGAUAGUCUUUAUAUACAUCCUUAUCUUGUCACAACUCAUAAUUGAUAUCUAUUUUAGCCAUUGUUUCUAUGUACAUAUUAGCAAAUCUGCAUUUUUAAUUCCCACUUCCAUGCCUGUCUGGAUUCUGUUAUCUCCUGAGCAAAGGCAUAACAUCAUUUGAGGUUCUUGCCAAAAGUUUCUAUUUUCCCUGUUUUUGAUUUCAGUGUUCUUAGUAGUAACUCAGCUCCUAACUUUGCUUCUGAAACCAGAAAUCUAAGAAUUAUCCUUGAUACUCUCUUCUACAUUCCAGUUUUCUCUAAUGUUUUCUCUGUUUUUUGGAAUGCAGUUUGUGCUUAAUGUAGUAUUGCCUCCUCUUUCUGUGCUUGUGUCUUUUUUUUUUUUUUUUUUUAACUGGCUUCUUUUUUUAUAGUCUGUGUCCUUUUUCUGUUCAACUAGGUACCUUAAAGGCAGAUCUUACUUCUUGAGACUGCAAAAGAAUAAUGGCAAGCCCUCUUUUGCUUCAGGAAGUAGAAGACCCAUGUAUUUUGCCUUUGUUUUUGAGCUGUGUAAAACAAGGACAUGGCAACCUGACCACAUCUGAAGCAGAGUUGGAAAUGUUCCCAUCAGUCUUCCAGAGAUUCAGGAAAGAGCAUCUUUUAUUCCUUAAUAGCUUUCUCUUGACCAUCUGUGGUCAAGCCAUGCUUUCUCCUUACCGUUUCAAGAGCCUGGAUUGUUCUCAGAGCCAGAAGGGGAGAAGCAGAAAGUCCAGCUGCAUGAGGGAAUUCUGCUUUUUUCUUACCCUGUGACUAUUGGAAAGAUUCUUCUCUUCACAUUUCUUUACAUCUAGGAUUUGGAAAUGCUUUAAAAGCUGAUAGCUUCAAGAAAGCAGAGGAGACUAAGAAGGAUAGAAUGAAUUCAGAGGGCAUGUUUUUCAAGAGCCAGGAAUCUGACAUACACGGAAUUGUGAUCUCUUGUAGCAGAAGAUGAAGUUCUUAUGGUGAUAUGUUUCAAAUGAGACUAGCUGUGAUUCAGACACACCUGAUACAAGCAUAUCAUUAUCUCUGUCAUUUUCUCAUUAAUGAUCAUGUGGUUGUUAUAAAAAGCUGACAGAAAAUUGCAUAAAUUAUCAUACAAUUAUUAUAUAAUAAUUAGCCCUCAUAUGUAUAUAAUAUAGAAAAAUUAAGUCAUGAAAUGAACUUGCUUGCAGAAGUGCUAAAAAAAUUACCUGUCACACACAGUUUACACUGAAAAGGCAGUAGAAGAAUGCAUUUUUUCAUUGGUAAACGAAGCCUUAAAUCUCCAGGCAAACUGAAUUUCAUUAGCAGAGAAAUUAAAAUUUGAUCUUUCUAUUGAAAUAGCUGCCAAGGUUAAGGGAUCACAGCAAAUAUGCAUGAUAUGUUGCUCAUACCACCUGGGAAUGGGGGGAGUUGUUCCCUUUUCCUACAGUAAGUAGUAGUUAUUACUCAGGGAGACCAUGCCCAGGGGUGCAGCCCUUCCAAGAACCAGGGCAUAAUUCUAGCCAUUGCAAAAAUUAUUCACUAUUUUCAAUUCUUAGUUCUGCUAACCAUGUAAAAGCACAGAGACAUUCCAAAGUAUCUGACAGAUAAUGUGUAUUUUUCUGUCAUUUGUUUUUCUCCAAAAGUUGUGAUAUAUUCUUUGUAGUGCAACCUUUGUAUUGUUUUGAAAUAAACUUGCUUUUCUACGUC